rnacentral:tRNA from 1 species
GGCGGUGUAGCUCAGUGGUUAGAGCAGAGGAAUCAUAAUCCUCGUGUCGGGGGUUCAAAUCCCUCCACCGCUA